rnacentral:rRNA from 1 species
CAAUAGCGUAUAUUAAAGUUGUUGCGGUUAAAAAGCUCGUAGUUGGAGUUCUGCCAGGUGCCGCCUGUCCGCCCCAGUGGUGAGUACGUGGCGCGCAUUUGGCCCUUUCAAGGGGAGCGUAUCUGCACUUUAUUGUGUGGUGCGGGAUCCUUGACUUUUACUUUGAGGAAAUAGGAGUGUUCCAAGCAGGCUCUCGUCGUGCACAGCUCAGCAUGGAAUAAUAGCAUUGGACCUCGAUUCUAAGCUGUUGGUUGCCAGAAGCGAGGUAAUGAUGAAGAGGGAUAGUUGGGGGCAUUCGUAUUUAACUAUCAGAGGUGAAAUUCUUGGAUUUGUUAAAGACGGACUACUGCGAAAGCAUCUGCCAUGGAUGUUUUCAUUGA